GUGCCAGCCGCCGCGGUAAUACGGAGGGUGCGAGCUUUAAUCGGAAUUACUGGGCGUAAAGCGCAUGCAGGUGGUUUGUUAAGUCAGAUGUGAAAGCCCGGGGCUCAACCUCGGAACUGCAUUUGAAACUGGCAGGCUAGAGUACUGUAGAGGGGGGUAGAAUUUCAGGUGUAGCGGUGAAAUGCGUAGAGAUCUGAAGGAAUACCAGUGGCGAAGGCGGCCCCCUGGACAAAGACUGACGCUCAGAUGCGAAAGCGUGGGGAGCAAACAGGAUUAGAAACCCUUGUAGUCC
rnacentral:rRNA from 1 species